rnacentral:rRNA from 1 species
GAUGAACGCUGGCGGCGUGCCUAAUACAUGCAAGUCGAGCGAACAGACGAGGAGCUUGCUCCUCUGACGUUAGCGGCGGACGGGUGAGUAACACGUGGAUAACCUACCUAUAAGACUGGGAUAACUUCGGGAAACCGGAGCUAAUACCGGAUAAUAUAUUGAACCGCAUGGUUCAAUAGUGAAAGACGGUUUUGCUGUCACUUAUAGAUGGAUCCGCGCCGCAUUAGCUAGUUGGUAAGGUAACGGCUUACCAAGGCAACGAUGCGUAGCCGACCUGAGAGGGGGAACCGCCCACCAGGGAAUGAGACACCGGCCCGGAUCCCACCGGAAGGAGGCGGUAGGGAUCUUCCGCGAAGGGCGAAAGCCUGGACGAGGAACCGCGCGUUAAGGAAGGAAGUCUUCCGGAUCGAAAACUCUGUUAAUAGGGAAGAACAAAUGUGUAAGUAACUAUGCACGUCUUGACGGUACCUAAUCAGAAAGCCACGGCUAACUACGUG